CUUGUCAAUGUCAGCAGCUCCUCUCCGCGUCUCUCCCGUUUGCUUCAAGGGUACAGACCUGGCUGUUUAAUAUUAAUAACAACGGAUUCAGCCUGGUCUCCUACUGUCCCUCCCAGCUCAGACAUCUGUGAGGGCACGCCAAGGGUUCAUUUAAAAAAUAAAACACUACAGGGUUUGGCACUAGAAAAGUUUCAGAGUUAAAGCCCAUUUUAAAAUAAAAGGGCUUUCUAUUCGCCCCCACCCCCCGCUGCCCCUAAGCUUCUCCGGGCUGCAGCGACAUAUCGUCUUGUCCUCAAUUGAAACUGAGUGUUGGAAACUACUCCUUUGUAAUGAGAACAUUAUUGGAGAAGUUGUUCUUGUGCGUUCCUUUUCUGGAACUCACUCAAGUCUGGGCUCUUACAAUACUCUUCAUCAGCUGAAAGGCUCCUUUCCUUUUAUCCAAUUAGUUACCUCUAAUCCAAAGCAGCACUUGGAGGAUCCAGUUCAUUUUAAAAGGCACCAAGUUACCAAACAGCUUCGCCACUGUCUGCUUUCAAUUUCUCAGCUGGCUGGGAGUUCAAGUGAGAUUGUCCUAACUUUGCAAGCCCGUGCAGCUUCAAGGCACUGAGCUAGGAGAGUCUGUGCCAAGGUGUGGGUCACGCCCCAGGAGAACACGCCCCAAGUGAAGCUGCAUAAUGUUCAGAAAUUGAGCAUGAAAAAUGUGUAGCACGUGGUGCUAUUUAAUAAUCAAUAGCAGAGUCAUUUGGACUUCAAUAUGGAAAUAUGAUGACAAGGAUAGCUCUUCUGCCAAGUCCUCGGACAGAUCACUAGAGCCGGGAUUUGGUGACGACCACUCCUGGCAACAUGAUACUGGACCAGCUGCAAUGACGAUCAGAAACAAAAGCACAGAUGAAGACAAGUGUCCAAGUUCUGGAGCCACGUGCUUCUUUGUUUCAUGAGUGCCACAGCAUGAACAAUCCUAUCAAAGCCAAGGUUCUGGCCUUCUCCCUACCUUAUCCUCCAUUAUGGAUUAAUCCCUUUUCUGGUGAGUAUGCUUUCAUAGUUUACUCCCUUUUCAACUCUUCAAGUUGCCAGUUGUCUAAGCUGACCUUAGAAAAUUCCUGCUUCCUGACUUGUACCUACUUUUCAGCUUUUUCUCAUUCUUCCACAAAAACCCUACUACUGCAAGCCUGAGUUAACUAGCUCCCCUUAAAUAAGAUUGCCUACUUUUCCCCCUUUGAUUUUCUUUUCUUUCCUGUCUUUAAAUUUUAUUUUAAGUUGAUGUUUCAGAUGAAGUCUCUCUUGCUAUGCAGUGCAUGCUGGUUUUGAAGUUAUGAUCUGCUUGCCUCAACAUUCCAAGUGAUGGGAUUAAGCACUGUGAC
rnacentral:lncRNA from 1 species